GGAAUAAGCAGGCGCAAGAGGAGACAUGGGCGACGAACACAAAGGAGAGGGGAGGCGGCCGGUCCUCUAGUUCAGGCAAGCCGAAGGGGAGGAGCAGGGGAAAGCUCAGGUGGCGAGAGGGUCCUCUGGAUAUCUUGAGGGGAAACACGACACUGCGGCGGAGUGGGGGAGCCCGAUCCCGCUUACCUCUCCCGCUGAGGACGGCGAAGGCGACGGCGAGGAGGAGGACAAGGAGGCGGGGACGCCACAGCUUCUCGGCCAUCUCCGUAGGAAGGCAGGGAGCGCGCGGCUAGGGCGCACGGCGCGGGGAAGGACUGCCCGAGGGGAAGGCUCCGAGGUCCACGUCGCGCAGAAGCCCGCUUUCCGCCGCCGGCUUCCGUGGGCAGGCGAGAGGGGAGUCGGUCCAGCCUCCGCCAGAGAAGGACGAGCAGCGCCGGCAGAAGCAGAGGCGGCGGCGGCAGCAGCGAUUGCAGCGCGGAAAGCCACUACAGGAAGAGGUGAUUUCAAAGGAAGAAACAACUGGGAGGAGGGGGUGUUGAAUCUUUUCCAUAUCCUACCAUUUCUCUGCUCCAAAUCCACUUCCAAGUUGCUUUCACCAGACUGCAGAGUUCUAGAUGGAAGCUUGCAAAGGCAAGCAAGAGCCAUUAUCAGAGUUCAAAGAUACAUUCUAGCCAUGCUGAAACACUCAAGGAGGUUACGAAGCCAGGCAA